AUUAUCAAGACUUAAAGAAAAAACCCUCUCAUCACCUUCGCGAAGAACACCCAAAACCCAGCAACCUUCGCGAAGAACAACCCAAAACGCAGCAACCCUGCUCGCAGCAACCUUAACCCCUCACCUUCGCAAGAACCAGCGCCGUCCUCUCUCUCAACUCACCACCAGCGCCGUCCUCUCUCUCACUCGCAGUCGUCCUCUCUCUCACGAACCCUAACUCCAAAUCGAAGCUUAACUCCAAAUCGAAGCUUCUCUUUCUUUCUCCGGCCUCUACUCUCACGAAUUGAAGCUUGUUUUUCUCUCACCCACAACUGAAAACGCAGGUACUGAUUCGAAGCUCUCUCUCGUCCCUAAUUGCAGAAUGAAGCUCUCUCUCGUUCCUCUCCCUCCGAUUGAAAACCAAGAGUAUUUGAAAAUGGGUCUGUCAUUCACGAAGCUGUUUAGCCGGCUUUUCGCGAAGAAGGAGAUGGGUAUACUUAUGGUCGGUCUCGAUGCCGCUGGUAAGACCACCAUUCUGUAUGAGCUUAAGCUUGGAGAAAUCGUCACCAUUCCCACCAUUGUUUAUAAGAUGCUAAAAAAGCAGAGAAGAUAUCUUAAUCAAGAGGUGAUGUGGAUGCAAUUGUCAUGGUAGAAUUUUGUAAGCUGGUGUUGCCAAAGCUUGGUUUAGGAGGUAGCAGGAUUGGUUAAAGCAUCAAUGAUGUGAAUUGAGAGAUAAAAUUGGAGUUUCUCUGAUGGUGUUUGUAUAAUUUAUAGCUGAGCAAGUGUUAAGAUUAUAUAAUCACAUUUAUGCAGUGAGUUAAAAACUAAUAGACUAAGUAAUAGUUUCCUUGUUUUUAUCUUCAUUUUCUUCAAUUCUCAACAACCUUCCACAAGCUGGAGCUUGGUAAAUAUCUAUCAAGCCAAGCUUGGACACAAGAUUAUUGAACUUUGAAGUUGAUAAAGCUUUAGUAAGAAACUGUUCUUCAAUUCUCAACAAGGAAUGUUUGUAGAUAAUGUCAACGUUUGUUUUUUCAAUAUCUUUUAUCAAUGGAUUAUAUCGAGUGCAGAUUUUGAUAAUAUAGAUCGUAUUGUGUAGGGUUUAAUGUGGAAACUGUGGCGUAUAAGAACAUCAGCUUCACUGUUUGGGAUGUUGGAGGGCAGGACAAGGUAUUUCUAUAUCGGCGCGGGUGUGUGUGUCUGUUUGUGCGUGUUAAGGAAAUACUACCAAUGCUUUCGUUUAUUGUUUGGACCCGGUUCAAUUGAGUUUUGCAUCAAAGCCAGUUUCACUUCAAAAGGCGGGUAAACAAUACAUACAAAAUAAUUUGCGUGAUCUAAACAAAGUGUGCUACUUAGCACCACAUCUUUUGGACGGGCAUUGGCAAUUAAUAAUUAUGUGUCCUAAGGACAAUGUUAUAGUUUGUCUUUGUUCAUUACACCGUAAGAUACCUGAGGCAGCGAGGAAUUUUUUUAAAGAUGCUUUUAAAGUUCAUCAAUUGACAACUUUUGGUAAUAGAAAGAAGGCUACAUGGAUUUUUCCCAAAGUAAGUGUGGUGUAAAUUUUAAUAUUUAUUUACGUUCAUAACACAUGAUUGAUAUUUAUCAUAUCAUAUACUAAAAGAUGGUGGACUUGGAGACUCAAAUCCAAAACCCUAAUCAAACCCUAAUUUGUUUGGCCAAUUGAUGACUACCAACAAUGCAAAUUGUCCAAUGGAGCUUUGCCAUUUUCGCCCAAUCAUGUGCUGCCUAUUUCUGUCCAAUUGUGUGUUGCCAACACAUGGUUGUCUUCCUCCACUCUUUUUUUUUUUUGACACUACAUGAUUGUAUUCCUCCAAUGAUCAUUUGCCAUGUGCCUCAAUCAAGGUUUUGUGCAUUCUAUGGUAUGUAGUGCUUUGAUCAUUGUAUGCUUCUUGGUAAUUGCCCCUACUUACUUCACUACCUUUCCAAAGUCAACUAUCACAUGUCAUCUGUAUGGUAUUAGGUUUCUUGGAAAUUGCAUUCACAAAGUCAACUAUGACAUUAUGCCACUACUUACUUCACUUCAUUCACAAUGUCACAUUAUGUAAUCAUUGGUCUUCCAAUCUUCUCAUUGGCUAUCUAUAACUGAUUUAUGAAAACAAUUGGCUGGAUGUGUUGUUGAUUUGUAGCACAGGAGAACUACUUCUCACUCAUUUCUCUUUAUUUUUCUCUCUCUUUCUCUCUCUCCCUCUCGUCCGCACAACCACACCAAACAACACCGAACAAGACCUCCGCCGCAAUCACCACCGAACAAGACCUCACCUCCGCCUCAGUUUGCCGCCCAAUCCAUCGCGACUACUUAAUCAACCCCCACCUCCAACGUGAUAUCUGGUCUCAUCUCUUCACCUCAAUUCUUCACAUAAACCCUUCUCAAUCCAAUGUCCUUCUCACUGAACCUGUUUUCACUCUCCCAUCAAUUCAACAAUUCAUUGACAGAAGAAUGAAAGGAAAAAGAAUUUUCACGGUUAGUAGUACAACGAAAUCAAACCUUCUAUUUCUGAUCUUUGGUUAAUAUUAUUGGUUUUGGUGGUUUUGUUUUAUGAUUUCUAUUUAGAUUUUUAAUUUCUGUUUUUAAACCUUCUAUUUCUGAUCUUUGGUUAAUAUUAUUGAUUUUUAUGGUUUUGUUUUAUGGUUUCUACAAAGAUCCAGUUCUGCCAUUGAUUUCCCUAUAUGGGUUUUCAAACUCACAAGUGAUUUUGUGGUACAAUAGAAAUUGGGAAUUGGAAGAAGUAUGUGAAACCCGUAUUCUGGACAGGGGCACACUAAAACGACGCGUUUGAAGUUCAGGGUCAGAUGCAGAAUUUUGGGUUUGAGGUUAGCAUCAUGAUCAUCAUCUUGAGCUAUUGGGAAUUCUGUGGAGUAGCUCAUUUCUUAAAGUUUCUGAGUUAAUCUCAUUUAGGUUUUGAUAUGUGAUUUCUUGAAUCCAUCAUGGGAGAAGAUCUGCAAUUGAUAUUCAAACAUCGGGUGAUCUUAUAACUCUUAUUGCUGCAGCUGCAACAGCUUUGAGAGGAGAAGCAGCUUUGAGAGCGAGAUUUUCAAAAGAAGCAAAGAAGUAUGCAUCAAUAAGUCCCUAUGCUCUAUUAUCUUAUGUUUGCUUAUAACAUGUUUGUUAUUGUUAUAACCAUAACUAUCACUAAUUAGGUGCAUACUACUCUUACCAAAUAAUUAUUGAUUUGUUUCUAUGUAAGUUUAAGUAGCACAUGCAGGGAAGAUAUGAGAUUAUGAAAAAAAUACAUGCCUAAAGUUGGUUCUCUUGGGCUUGACGUGAUGUUCAGGACAUGCACUGCACAGGUCAAUCUGGACUUCAGUUCUUAAGCCGACAUGAUCAGGAAAUUUCGUGCUGGCCUAGCUUUGUAUCCUGUAAGAAACGUGAUAUUUUUUAUUUGCGGAAUUUUUUCAGUUUUGUGAGAUGUAACCAUUGUGCCCAAUGGGUUUGUCAGUAUGAGAAGGUACAUGAAAGUUCUCAUGUGAUCAUUUUCUUUCUAACGUUGCUUUAUUAAGGUGCCUUAUCCCAUUUUCAUAAACUUGAAACAGCCAUAUCUGGAUUGAUACUGAUAUUGACAGCACAGGCAUGCUGCCUUUUGUUUUUGACGACUCAUUUGAGUAGGUGAUUUUGUUUUUUGAAUUGUGAAGCAUUACGGCUCAAGGCAGUUAUUUAUAUGCUUUCAAAUUUUAGGCUUCAUGGGUUUUCAUAGAACUUUUCUUUACGCCCUUUUGCUCAUCCACUGAUCCUUCCUAUAACAUGUAUUUGGAUUUACACAUUAAAUGGCUAUGCAAUAUCAACAUGUAGCAUUGAUAAAGGCUACAUAAGGAAUAAGAGGAAAGAAUUCAAUAAAUAAUUGACUAUAAUAUAAUUGUUAAUGGUAUUUCAUGCAAUGAUUUGGUUAAUCUUUUUCCACUUAUUUUGUUUUCAAACUCUCUGAUUGCAGGUUUGAGCAGUACGUUGACUAUGCUCUUGAUGUUCCAAUGCGCAGAUACUCUUCUUUUGAUAUCCAGACACGAGAUUUAUGAUAUUUGAAUUGAUAUUUUAUUACUACUUGGAUCAAUGUCAUGCUUUUCACAUUUUAAUCCUUUUUUCUUUUCUUUCCUGGCAGGUUGCUCCAUACAAGAAAGUCCGGAAAGUGUUCUUUGUAUUUUAGUCAUGUGGAUUAAUUUAAUUCUUUAGUUACCUGCUGCAAGGGUUUAGUUUGAGCACUUAUAAGUCAUUAAUUUUUUUGGAUUGUGUCCCUUUUAAAAUUUCUUUUCUACAUAGCGUGCUAUUGAAUUGUUUGAUCUAUUGAUUGAUUCUAUGGCGUAUGGUAAGGCUGCUAUAAAAUGAUAUGUAAGUGUUACUUAUGAAGGAGAGUAAUCUCCCAGUGUGAUAAUGAAGGUACUACUAAUUUAGUUUACCAUUGAGGCUUAUCUUUUUAUUUUUAUUUUUUUAUAAUGUGCUUAGUGAUUUAGCUAUGAAGUGAGAAUAUUAAAACAAUAUUGAUUUUGAGUUUGCAUACUUACGUCAUGCAUUUUUAAUUUGCUUGGACAGUUUGCAUGCUCUGAUUGUUCCAUGCUUCAAAUCUUUGCAUAAGCACUAUCCAGGCAUCAAGUGGCAUGAUUGUAGAUGCAAAUGCAACGCAAGAUGAACUGAUAUCUACUCCUACUACUGUCAAAAUUAAGAUCAAAAGCAAACACAUUGGAGGAGCUUUCUCCAAAAAGAGUAAAUGUGUGGUUUAUGGAGUGUGUAAUGAAGACUCUGCAUGGCCAUAUCAAAAAGAAAGGGAAGCUUCUAAAGAGCUCUAUUUUGGCCUCAAAACUGCACAAGGUCUUCUAGAAUUUAAGUCUGAGAGCAAACUCCAGAAGCAAAAAUGGGUUGAUGGGACACUAUGCACUAUUUCAUAUCGUUUGAGAAGCUGCUUGGACGCAAUUUAGCUCUAGAACUUGCAAAGACAACAGUGUUCACAAUCCCAUAAUUCAGAAUUUCGUCGCAGUCAGUCUAUCUAAGCUAUGGAUGUCAAAAUAUACGAUGCUGCAAGAUCCAAAACCAAAACCAGAUUCAAGUAUCUGUUGAAAGGAAAAAUAGGAAAGAUAUAUUUCAAAGAUGGAUGGUAUGAUGGGGGCUUGAAGAAGGUUUUUUUAGUUGGCUGUGAGUUGUCUAUUUUUUGCUUCUUUGUAUAUGUAUGAUAUGUUAUACUUAUAUUGGACUUAAGAUUACCCUUUUUAAUUUUUGUAGAUUUGGUGUGCAUCCUUAUAUGCAGGGAACAAUUUUAGUACUCAACGAUAUAUUGGGUUGGGUUGGGUUGGGUUUUAAAAAAUAUAUAUAGCUCCAAUCUAAAUUGAAUAUAAUAUUAUUUUUGUUAUGUUUUAUUACUGUCUCAGUUGCGGCCUGAUUUAGAUUUGUACGACAUUGUUUGUUUGUGAAGUAAGAGGAGAGACAUCCGAGACAUUCUUUCCAUUGCGUGGCAUACCACCAUCUAAUCCUUCUUCGUUAAUUGUUUGUAUUGGGGCUAUCCCCGGUCAUUAUGUCUAUGUCAAGUUGAAAGAUGAUUGUCCCAUACCUCCAACAUGUAUUCAGUGGAAGAGGUAUUGUUCUCCGGAUGCUAUUGGUUGGGAGUCUUUUUUUGUUGCUCGACAAGCCAAGUUUGAUAAACUCAUGAAGGAAAUAAUAGUUGAUAAUAAGAAGAAGAUUCGAGUUGGUUCUAACUCGGAUGAUCCAAUUGAACUUUGAUUUGAAUGUUAGUUAAAUUAUGUAAUUCCCGUGUGUUUAUGAAUAUCCAAUUGAACUUUGAUUUGAAUGGUAGUUAAAUUACGCAAUUCCCAUAUGUUUAUGAAUAAUUUCCUUUACCGAUAAUAUCCAUGAUUGGUAUGUGUAAUGAUACUCUCUCUGAUGAUUUCCGUGUGCUUAUGAUUAAUUUCACUAUGAGGUUGCAUCCAUGAUUGAUAUACAAAUGAUAUUCCGCCAAACCCGUGCAACGCACGGGUAGCCAUCUAGUUUAU